UAAUACAUGCAAGUCGAACGCGUUGGCCCAAUUGAUUGAUGGUGCUUGCACCUGAUUGAUUUUGGUCGCCAACGAGUGGCGGACGGGUGAGUAACACGUAGGUAACCUGCCCAGAAGCGGGGGACAACAUUUGGAAACAGAUGCUAAUACCGCAUAACAGCGUUGUUCGCAUGAACAACGCUUAAAAGAUGGCUUCUCGCUAUCACUUCUGGAUGGACCUGCGGUGCAUUAGCUUGUUGGUGGGGUAACGGCCUACCAAGGCGAUGAUGCAUAGCCGAGUUGAGAGACUGAUCGGCCACAAUGGGACUGAGACACGGCCCAUACUCCUACGGGAGGCAGCAGUAGGGAAUCUUCCACAAUGGGCGCAAGCCUGAUGGAGCAACACCGCGUGAGUGAAGAAGGGUUUCGGCUCGUAAAGCUCUGUUGUUAAAGAAGAACACGUAUGAGAGUAACUGUUCAUACGUUGACGGUAUUUAACCAGAAAGUCACGGCUAACUACGUGCCAGCAGCCGCGGUAAUACGUAGGUGGCAAGCGUUAUCCGGAUUUAUUGGGCGUAAAGAGAGUGCAGGCGGUUUUCUAAGUCUGAUGUGAAAGCCUUCGGCUUAACCGGAGAAGUGCAUCGGAAACUGGAUAACUUGAGUGCAGAAGAGGGUAGUGGAACUCCAUGUGUAGCGGUGGAAUGCGUAGAUAUAUGGAAGAACACCAGUGGCGAAGGCGGCUACCUGGUCUGCAACUGACGCUGAGACUCGAAAGCAUGGGUAGCGAACAGGAUUAGAUACCCUGGUAGUCCAUGCCGUAAACGAUGAGUGCUAGGUGUUGGAGGGUUUCCGCCCUUCAGUGCCGGAGCUAACGCAUUAAGCACUCCGCCUGGGGAGUACGACCGCAAGGUUGAAACUCAAAGGAAUUGACGGGGGCCCGCACAAGCGGUGGAGCAUGUGGUUUAAUUCGAAGCUACGCGAAGAACCUUACCAGGUCUUGACAUCUUGCGCCAACCCUAGAGAUAGGGCGUUUCCUUCGGGAACGCAAUGACAGGUGGUGCAUGGUCGUCGUCAGCUCGUGUCGUGAGAUGUUGGGUUAAGUCCCGCAACGAGCGCAACCCUUGUUACUAGUUGCCAGCAUUAAGUUGGGCACUCUAGUGAGACUGCCGGUGACAAACCGGAGGAAGGUGGGGACGACGUCAGAUCAUCAUGCCCCUUAUGACCUGGGCUACACACGUGCUACAAUGGACGGUACAACGAGUCGCGAACUCGCGAGGGCAAGCAAAUCUCUUAAAACCGUUCUCAGUUCGGACUGCAGGCUGCAACUCGCCUGCACGAAGUCGGAAUCGCUAGUAAUCGCGGAUCAGCAUGCCGCGGUGAAUACGUUCCCGGGCCUUGUACACACCGCCCGUCACACCAUGAGAGUUUGUAACACCCAAAGUCGGUGGGG
rnacentral:rRNA from 1 species